GGGCGCUGGGAGAAGGCUCAGGACACCGAGGGGGGAGCUUUGCUGCUUCUCUGAAGGAAACCAGAAGCUGAAAUGGGUGUUGCCCUUCCUCGCGGCUCGACUGCAGCAGACACGGAACCCGGGCACGCGACGGUCCGGGCCCCAGCCCUGCCGCACGUCAAUGCGAAGCUCCGAGACGGACAUUUACACUUUGUCACGUGGGACACCAAGAUGCCUCUCCACCGACCACAGGAAGCAAAAGGGGGGCUCGGGAUGGUGGAACAAAGCAAUCAAGAAGGAACGAACAAUACCACUGGAACUCAGCGUUUAGGCCCUGAGCAGGAGUCCUCAUCCUGUUUCACAGCUAUUUACUAAGCACCUACUGUGUGAUCAGUGGAAACAUCACUGCUUGUGAUGUGGCGUUGAUUCAAGGAGGUAAAAGCUGACGACUCUCAACCUCCAAAAUGUACAAACAACAGGACAACAACGUGAACAAAAGCUCAGAGUGCUACUUACAUGCGUCCGGGUGCCUUCUAGUUCUUGUCCAUACGAACACAUCACUUCACAAGAACAGCUUGUUUCUUCGAACGCACUUCCCCAGAUAGGAUUACUGGAUCAAGGGGGUACCAAUCUUUGUGACUUUUGCCAUAUACUGCCAAAUAAUGUUCCAAAAGGCUUUUUACCAACUUACAAUGUUACCAGCAAUGAGCUAUGUUGCAUUAAAAAUGAUUAAUUAAAAAAAAAUGUAUCCUGCUGCAACCAGAAGGGAACCCAGGUUCGUUAAUGAAGAUUCAACCCCAAAGAGCCUGGUUAAGAUCUCC